rnacentral:rRNA from 1 species
GACGAACGCUGGCGGCGUGCUUAACACAUGCAAGUCGCACGGGACUGGGGGCAACUCCAGUUCAGUGGCGGACGGGUGCGUAACACGUAAGCAACGUGUCCAGGGGUGGGGGAUAGCCGGCCCAACGGCCGGGUAAUACCGCAUGCAGUCCGGCAGGACAUCCUGCCUGACGAAAGCCGGGGCAACCUGGCGCCCAUGGAGCGGCUUGCGGCCUAUCAGCUAGUUGGUGGGGUAAUGGCCCACCAAGGCUACGACGGGUAGCUGGUCUGAGGGGAUGACCAGCCACAUUGGGACUGAGACACGGCCCAGACUCCUACGGGAGGCAGCAGUGGGGAAUAUUGCGCAAUGGGCGAAUGCCUGACGCAGCGACGCCGCGUGUGGGAUGAAGGUCUUCGGAUCGUAAACCACUGUCAGAGGGGACGAAGGCCCGGGGUUAACUGCCACCAGGAUUGACGGUACCCUCGGAAGAAGCACCGGCUAACUCUGUGCCAGCAGCCGCGGUAA